GCGCGGGCCUCUGGGUUCCGAGGGUGCUGGUGACCUGAGAAGAAGGGAGGGGACAGAGGAGGAGACACACCUGAUCAGCCCGGGAGACUUUGGAGGAGGCGGGCCGGCCGGGAGGAAGUGGCGGGGAGGAGGGACCGGAGCACCCCAGGAUCGAAGAGGGCGCACGGGCCCGGCCCUCCCACGCGCCCUCCAGGGACCCGGCAGCCAGACAGACGGACAGGCGGACCGCUAGGGAGCUCAAGUACCCGGACACACGCACGAGCGCAGAACAAAGGGCCGGACAUGCUCCAGCCCGCUCCGCCUGCGCCUCGGCCUUGCGCGCGGGGGCCCGGGUUACCUGCGCAGUUUUAAAAAUAUUUUCCAAGAUCCCUUCAGUGAACAUGGGAUGCUUCCAUAAUGAAGAGAGAGACACACCGUGAUGACCUCCACAUACCAUAUUUGAUGACAGUCUUCCUUGCAUUGUUUUUCCCUUUUAGAGCCAGCUGUGAUGUAAAGAAGUUUGUGCUGCAUGAGAGAGAUAGCACCUGAAGAAAAUGAGGCCCUGGAGGAUGAGAGACUCUAAAGGAAAAGGGAAGGGCCUGCUGUCUUCCAGCCACGCCAGCCCCCAACUGAGAAGCUGGUGCCCUUGGUGUGGUGGAAGCAAGGUGCCAUGUGAUAAGUAAGCCUCCAGAGAGGCCUGCAUGGCAGGAUCCAAUGUCUUUAGCCAACAGCAUCUGGGAACCUGAGACCUGCCAACACCCUUGUGAGUGAGCCUGGAAGUGGACCUCCUGCUCUUGAACCUUGAGGUGACUAUAGUGCUGGCUGACACCUUGACUGCAGUCCCUGAGCUGGGGGGCCCAGCUGAUCUACUCCCAGAAUCCCCCCUACUAAAACAGUGAUAUAAUAAAUGCUUAUUGUUUCAAGCUG
rnacentral:lncRNA from 1 species